rnacentral:tRNA from 3 species
GGUCUCUUAGCUCAGUGGCUAGAGCGAGAGAUUGCAGAUCUCUAGGUCGCGUGUUCGAUUCACGCAGAGACCU